rnacentral:rRNA from 1 species
CCUACGGGGGGCUGCAGUGAGGAAUAUUGGUCAAUGGGCGUACGCCUGAACCAGCCAAGUCGCGUGAGGGAAGACUGCCCUAUGGGUUGUAAACCUCUGUUGUCAGGGAGCAACGCCGGCUACGUGUAGCCGGACUGAGAGUAACUGAAGAAAAAGCAUGGGCUAACUCCGUGCCAGCUGCCGCGGUAAUACGGAGGAUGCGAGCGUUCUCCGGAUUUAUUGGGUUUCAAGGGGGCGUAGGCGGAAUGCCAAGUCAGCGCUUAAGUCGAGGGGCUCCACCUCGCUCCGCCGUUGAAACUGGCGUUCUUGAGUGGGCGUGCAGUAUGCGGCAUGCGUUGUGUAGCGG